CUAAGUGGCCACCACUUGUGGUUGGGGACCAUAGUAAACGCCGGGGUCAACUCGAAGAAAGGUGGGGAUAACUUCAAAUCGCCAUCCCCCUUAUAUCUUGGGCUUCCCACUUGCUACAAUGGCCAGUACAAAGGGCUGCGAAACCCCAAGGUGAAGCGAAUCCCAAAAAACUGGUCUCAUUUCGGAUUGGGGUCUGCAACUCGACCCCAUGAAUUCGGAGUCGCUAGUAAUCGCGGAUCAGCAACGCUGCGGUGAAUAUGUUCCCGGGCCUUGUACACACCGCCCCUCAAGUCACGAAAGUCGGUAACACCCGAAGCCGNUGGCCCAACCCCUAAGUGGGAGCGAGCCGUCGNAGGUGGGANNGGCGANUGGGANUAAGUCGUAACAAGGUUGCCGUACCGG
rnacentral:rRNA from 1 species